GACGAACCGUACGAACGUUAUUCGGAAUCACUGGGCUUAAAGGGUGCGUAGGCGGCGCGACAAGUUGGGUGUGAAAUCCCUCGGCUCAACCGAGGAACUGCGCCCAAAACUGUCGUGCUCGAGGGAGACAGAGGUGAGCGGAACUUAGGGUGGAGCGGUGAAAUGCGUUGAUAUCCUAAGGAACACCGGUGGCGAAAGCGGCUCACUGGGUCUCUUCUGACGCUGAGGUACGAAAGCUAGGGUAGCGAACGGG
rnacentral:rRNA from 1 species